CCAGGAUCGUCUGGAUCUCCUGACCUCGUGAUCCACCCGCCUUGGCCUCCCAAAGUGCUAGGAUUACAGGCGUGGGACACCGUGCCCAGCCCAGGUCCUUGUGCCCUUCGAGGGUGCAGACGGUGGUCUCUGCAUCUCCUUUGCUCCACGUGCCAGGCACAGGUAACAAGAGGAUUCAGAAUCUGAGAGAUACUGCUUAAAAGGAAAAUGUCCUGGAGGGAUGCCAAACUGCACUCUCAAAGGUUUCGGCUGGAUGUGUGAUAUUGAUGGGGAAACCCAUUUCAGUGUCUCUAAGAAGGGGGUAGUGCUCCUCUUUCCAGGAUGUCUCUGGGGAAUCUAGAGCACCCCAAAGUGUGGUAUGCAUAGAAACAUUGCUGCUUAAGGUCUGAAUAUUUGUUCCUCAUCAAUUCAUGUGUUGAAAUUCUAACCUCUCCUGAAUGGGAUUAGUGCUCUUACACGAGAGGCCUGACAGAGACUCCUCACCCUUCCCACCAUGCGAAGACACAGUGAGAAGGCUCAGUCUAUGAACCAAAAUGUUGACUGUCACCAUUUACUCAAUCUGCUGUCGCCUUGAGCUUGGACUUCCCAGCCUCCAGAACUGUGAGAAAUAAAUUUCUGUUGCUUAUAAGACAACCAGUUUAUGACAUUUCGUUAUAGCAGCCUGAAUGGACUAAGACACCCUUCCCACCAUGUGAAGACAGAGUGAGAAGGUUCGGUCUAUGAACCAAAAACUGACCCUCACCAGUCAUUGAAUCUGCUGGUGCCUUGAUCUUGGACUUCCCAGCCUCCAGAACUGUGAGAAAUAAAUUUCUGUCGUUUAUAAGCCACCUAGUUUAUGAUACUUUGUUAUAGCAGCCUGAAUGGACUGAGACACCCACCUUAAAAAGACAGUACCUCAAAACCAUAAGGCAGGAUAACUGCUAGCCUGAUAUUAAUAGUUUUUAAUUUACUGCUAGCUUCAUUUUGCCAACUGAGUCAGAUAUUUUUUAAAAGUUCUGUUUGCAAUUAUUUUAACUUAGGAGAGGAGAAAAAGAGCAGGCAUCAGCCUGCAUAUGGGAUAUUUCUGAAAGGAUUUUGCUAUGAUUAGCUUGCCCUCAGGGAGAGUAAAAUGUGAGUUAUACAACCAUGCUUAUAUUUAGAUGUUGUUGAUGUUCUGGCUUAUAAUAUAUGAUGAGUUAGAAAUAAUUUUGUACUGAUCAGCCCAACCAGAAAAUAAACAUGCUUUAACUUGUAUUUAUUACUAAACUUGGUCUCCUAAAACAUGAUAAAGCAGUUGAGUCUAUAAUGACUGAGCCAUAGCUUCUCUGACUGACUCUAAGAGGGAAUGACGUUAAUAAGAGAUUAGCCCAUACCUCUAAUAGCCCUGGGAGAGAUGAACCCAAGACGGCAAGGCCCAGCUCUGAUGGAUGAAGGGACAGAGAACUAUAAGAAGACUGGGUUCCAUCUAGGAUGGGUGGCCUGUUGAGUGCCCAUCUUAUCUGCUUAGAUGAUGAUACUUGGAGACCUGACUCAAUUGUUGUGAAUGGUCUUUGUAAAAUUUUAUUUUAGAGACAGGGUCUUGCUAUGUUGCCCAGGCUGGUCUCAAACACCUGGGCUCAAGUGAUCCUCCUGCCUCAGCCUCCUGAGUAGCUGGAACUGCAAGUGAUUACUCUUAUUGAACAAACAAACAAAAACAAGUGCCUGUGACCUAAUAGAGAUGCAUGCAUAUGUUCACCAAAAGAUCUAGAAUGUCCACAACAGCCCUAUUUAUCAUCACCCCAAAUGGGGCACCCUGCACCUACCUCAACAGUAGAUGCAUACAUUUCUGUGUAUUUACACUGUGGAAUAUGACACAGCAAUGACAAUGAAUGAACUACAGCUAUACACAACAACAUGGAUGGCUAUCACAAACAUAAGGUAGAGCUAAAAGCGAAAAAAACCAGCAUAAAAGUGGGCAAAAGCCAUCUAUGUUGUUAAAAAUCAGGAUAGUGGCUGCCCUGGAAGGGGGCAUGAGGAGGCUUCAAGGUGCUUGUCAUGUUCUCUUUCUUCACU
rnacentral:lncRNA from 10 species